GGCAUCCUCUGGGUACAACUGAAGGUCUUUGUCUGUUCAAGAACAAUGAAAUGGAAGGAAGCACAGCCGUGUGGAAACAAGGUCUGCAAGUUUUUAGCGAGUGGAUAGGAAAGCAGUCGUGUAAAAGCCUCAGGUUUAGUUCUGCGUUACCUUGGUCAGCUACCUCUGGAUAUUUCUCAAAGAUAAUUAACUAAUUAUUUGCAUAAAGAAAGAGGCGAGCAGACAAGGACAUGGAGGUAACAGGACAGAGGAGGCGAAUGAAGUGGAUUGUUUACUCUGAGUAAUUCCACUUAAUCAGAGCUUUGUUUGCUUAAAGGGACUGGCCUCUGGCAGACUGCUGGGCGGCAGCUCGGCUGUGUAGUAGUGAGGCGUCCCUCGGGCCUGGGCCUCCCCGUGUGACAUGGGCAACGGAAAGCAUUCCUGCACCCCCAGUUCCCGUUUCACUUUCUUCCCAGUUUCUUCCUCGACCACUACCUGGUGCUCCUCUGCCUUGGGCGGGGCGCAGCAGGACAGUAAUUGUGCUCUCUGUCUCACUCAGCGGAGACGGCAUGUCUCCGUAAUCAAAGGUGGGAGCUGUAGACACCAGACACAAAAGCUUACAUGUCAAAAACAAUAAAAGCACACGCAAAUAAGCACACGUCUAGCCUUAGCCAGUGCUCAUUUAAGCAACAAUAAUUGAGUUCAUACACUCUUUCUGCCUCUUUGUCCUUUCACAUAAACAUGUUCAUCCUUGAAAUGUCACGUAACACUGAGCCUCACUCUCUCACUAUAUAACGUUUUCCUCAUAGUACACUAACUAGUAGCAAUGCAGACAGUUGUUGAUACAUUGGCAUAUCUCGCCAUGUCAUUAAAAUAAAAAAUGUGUGCACACAGCUACAUCACUAUUCAUCUUCAUAUUUAGAGUUUAGACUAUGGAACUAGAAAUUCAGAGAUGAAUUUUUAAGGUCAAGGGAGUCGACCUCAUUUUGAAUUGUGGGCCACAUGCAGCCCACUUUGACCUUAAGUGGGUCGGAUCAGCAAAACUUGAUUUUGUCAAUGUACAGUCAAGAAGUUUAACUCCACAUUUACAGUGCAGAUCAAUUUUUCCACAUGAUAAAGUUUUUCUAUUGUAGCAAGUGAAAAGAAAUCUACCAGCACGACUCUUUGGGCUUAAAUUAUAAGAACUGUGUCAAAUUACAAAAUAAAUCUGUUUGCUCAUUGCCCAGAUGGCCCUGUAAUUUUAACAUGAAUGACUGGGGGAGAGGUCUUUAUCAGUGGGAAAAGCUGUAAAAAGUAUGAAAAUACAGGUGAAAGUCAGAAAUUUUCCAAAGCUUCCCUGUGGGCCAGAUUGGAGUCUUUGCCGAGCAGAGUCUGACCCCCCGAGCCUAAUGUUUGACACCCCUGGUCUAAGCUGCACAAACUGUCUUUUUGAGCAAAGACUCGUUCCUUUGUCAGCAUACAGGGAUAAACGGGCUAAUAUACCCAAACCCCAUAUUGUCAUUUUAAGUACAAUGUUUGGAUUUCCCUUCUAGUUGUCUUAGAAACAAGUCUAAUUAAAAGUACAGGGAGUGAGGCUAAAUUGAAUGGGUUUUUCAUUUAAAAGGAUUUGGCUAAAGUCAUGCUCCUCCCUGGAGAUGUGGCGGCACAUUUCUCUUUAAUAUCAGCAGUCAAUUAGCGAGGGGGAAGAGAGCAAACUAUUCAUGAGGAAUCGAUAAUUAUCAUAUUAAAAAGCAGUUCACUAAUAGCAUAGAAGAAAAGAGCACGCAUCAAUUAAGGUGAGUUAUUGAGGAAAACCAGAUGCACAUUUGUCGACAUUACGUGCUGCCAAAAAAGAAAAAAAGAGGGUUCGAUGCCUGCUGCCACACUGAGCCUGUCUGAGAGAUUAGUGCGCGUCAGCCACGACUCCGCGUGCACGCAAACGAGGAAACUUGCGUGGAAGAAUACUCCGCGGUGGGUGCUGCUUGAAGAUGCUGACAGUAGUGGCUGUUGAAGGUGUUCAGUGUUUGCUAGCUGUCAGUGCAGAUUUGAGAGACGCUCAGUGUAAGUGAAUGUCCUGCACCGUGGGCCAGAGGAGGAGGCUGAGGAUGAUCUGCAAAGACUUUUGGACUCUAUCUGUGGUCUGGCUCCACGCCAGAUUGCUGUCUGCCAUACAGCAAGUGAGCCUGUGCACUAAAUCUAUAAUUAAACAAACCGGACCUGUCUGCAAAGAGAUGGGGACAGAGAGAGUAAAUGUGCGAGCAAGACACAGUGGGAGUGGUCGUGCUGUGUGCUCCUCAGAGGUGUAAUCUCAUCCCUUAACAAGCGCAAAUGCAUCAUUAAAAGGAAACAGAAACACAAAGGUUGGAUUUCUAUCACCAGUAAUAAGCUCUGAGACUCUCAGAAGGGGUGUUCUGGUCCCGAGAAUGUUCUAAAUCUUUCUUCAUACAUAACGCACAGCAGUGUCCCCUCUGUUGUGCUUUCCUGCUACCUGCAAGUUAAUUUAUGUCUUGAGGACUGUGAGAUGACAGCGUGCCACUAGAUUGGAAAGGCAAUUGGAAAAUAGCUCUUGCACUCUGGGAGCAGCAGUUUUGCCUCAGCGAGGGAAGAAGAUACAGAGGUUAAAAGAGAGAAAACCUGAUUUCUAAUUAUAGCACACAGUGGGUGAAGUCUCACUGUUGUACCUCCAUGCUGCAUUAGCGAUAGGCAGCGAUGGCACAGAGAACAGCCUCUACACGGCCUCCUUCAUUUCUAUUUUACGAUUUUACGGCAGAUUUCGCACCGCCCCCAUGAUAGCACGGGUGCUCCGACAGC